AUUUGGACGUCGGGGAACUACAUUCUAAUAUUCCAAUGUUAUCUUACUUUUGAAUCUAUUUGCAGUCAAUUGGUGCCACUAUCCUCAAUUAAAUAAAAAUUAAAAUGUUGGUUUGAACCAUUUUUCGGUCAAAAGAAAAUUGAAGAUUCAUCGAAGGAUUGUUUUCAUCUUUAUGGACGUCCUCAAAUAAUCGCAGAGGAGCAUGAAUUAAUCAAUUUGCUUGCUUGAAAUCAAACAGAAUAACGGGUGUUUGUUUUCUGCUAGGUUAGAACCGUUCUUAUGAUGAUUCCGAAUCUCAAGAUUGGUUAAAUUGCUACCAAACGGAUGUUUGGAAGUUCUAUUCCAUGUGUUUAGAUUCCUCUACCCUAGUGCUCGUCAGUUUAAGGUGUCGUUUUUGUGGAAUGGAGAGGAAUUUGGUCUUCGAUUUGUAGUCUCUAUGCUGGUUUUUACGUAGUUCAAGAAUUGUUAUAAGAAAUCAAGAAUGCUCUAAGAUCUGGAGAAAGCUUUGAAUGAUCUCUUCGGUUGCUUCCAUCUCAAUUAUCAGCAAUUCAUCAAUCAGGGAGAUAUCUAACGAUUGUGGUGCGUCACUUGGGAAUUAUUUCUACAUUAGGACGAUAUGAAAUCUGGUAUCUGGUCUCUGAUGCUGAACGUGGCCACAGUUGAUUUUAGAUGCUAUUUUUCUGUCCAGUUAGCUACUCAAGAAGGGUAGGUGGCUUGGUGUGUGGACGAGCUUCCUGCUUUCUAUUCGGGUUGCUCUUUCUUUUCCGAAGUGUUAUUGUGAUUUUCGCUUCCUUCGGUAGAACUGGUGAAAAAGCGGCCGCUACAGUUUAUAAGGAUUUUGAGUUUCCAAAGUUGUCAGUAGUCAUGAAAAGCUGAAUCAGCAUACAUUAUAUAUAACCUGGAUUUUCAUUUCU